CGGAGGGGGCGACCUUGAGCGGAUCCCUCAAAGCCGGUCUCAGUUCGGAUUGCAGUCUGCAACUCGACUGCAUGAAGUUGGAAUCGCUAGUAAUCGUGGAUCAGCCAAGCCGCGGUGAAUACGUUCCCGGGCCUU
rnacentral:rRNA from 1 species